rnacentral:RNase_P_RNA from 1 species
UCGGGCGACCGGGCGGCCGCGGCGAAAUUUUUCGCUGAGGAAAGUCCGGGCUCCAUGGAAGCAAGGUGCCGGGUAACGCCCGGCCGGGGCGGUGACGCCCUGAGGGAAAGCGCCACAGAAAACAAACCGCCCUCUCCGGAGGGUAAGGGUGAAAAGGUGCGGUAAGAGCGCACCGCCGACCCAGCAAUGGGGCGGGCACGGCAAGCCCCACCUGGAGCAAGACCGAAUAGGGACCGAGUGCUGCGCGGUAUCGCGUGGCAGGCGCGCUUACACGCUGAUCGGUCCGGGUUGGUUGCUUGAGGCUGCACGCAAGUGCAGUCCCAGAUGGAUGGUCGCCAUUUCGCCUAUAGCGGAAUACAGAACCCGGCUUAUAUGGUCGCCCGGCGCC